ensembl:lncRNA
AAGUGUUUUAGAAGAGAUAUAAAAUGUUUUUUUUUUUUUUAAUCAAACCCACACGUAAUUUUCUUAUCUUCUUUUGACAGGGAUAAUUUUAAAUUAGCCAUUUGCCAGUUUGUUCUCAUAAAACGAUUAUAGGAUGUGACUCACUGAGACCUAAAUUAUGUGAAAAUGCUGGAAAGAAAUGUGCUGAGUAUCAGCUGUGGACCGUGCCAUCCCUGGGAGCAGCCGUAACCCAGUCUACAAAGGAAGAAAUUAUCCAAUGGAACUACUAAUGAAUCUUUCAUCAUAAUGACCAAGACUUCAGAAAACUUCUUCUUGAUGCCAUUAGCAAAAACAGACGUCACUGUUCAAGAAGAAUAGAUAUUCCAUGCAGUCUGGCAAGUACCUCCUUGGGGACUGGUCAAAUUGAGCACUCUUCAGCCAACAAAAAACUGAAAGCAUGCAGUUCUUCUGGUUACUGAACACUUCAAAGAAAAAUAAAUAUUAACACAGGUAAGGAAACA